rnacentral:rRNA from 1 species
UACGGGGGGGGCAAGCGUUGUUCGGAAUUACUGGGCGUAAAGGGCUCGUAGGCGGCCAACUAAGUCCGACGUGAAAUCCCCGGGCUUAACCUGGGAACUGCAUUGGUGACUGGCGGGCUAGAGUAUGGCAGAGGGGGGUAGAAUUCCACGUGUAGCAGUGAAAUGCGUAGAGAUGUGGAGGAAUACCGAUGGCGAAGGCAGCCCCCUGGGCCAAUACUGACGCUCAUGCACGAAAGCGUGGGGAGCAAACAGG